GGUGGUGCAGCAGGAAAUCAUCAUGAUGAAGGACUGCAAGCAUUCUAACAUCGUGGCCUACUUUGGCAGUUACUUAAGGAGAGAUAAAUUAUGGAUAUGUAUUGAAUAUUGCGGGGGAGGGUCCCUACAAGACAUAUCACGUCGGCUGUAAGGCUCCUCAUUAGAGAGACAGGAACAGCAGUCGACACCACCAACUACCGUUGAUCUCAUCCUCCCACAUAUCGGCUCCCUGCUGCCACGGAGACGUCACGCUGGUCAUAAUGUCCCCAACCCUAGGCUCUGUCCACGGAGUACAUAGAGGGUCACCGAAACGGAAGGCUGACGUGCUCGGCGCACUGUCCCUCGUGGUCUCCACAAUGCCCAUGACCGGGCCUCUUACAGAAUCACAAAUAGCCUACGUGUCUCGAGAAACUCUUCAGGGUCUCUACUAUCUACACAACAAAGGGAAAAUGCACAGAGACAUAAAGGGAGCAAACAUACUGUUGACAGACAACGGGUACGUCAAACUAGCUGACUUCGGCGUCUCGGCCCAAAUCACAAUGACCAUUGCAAAGAGAAAAUCCUUCAUCGGCACACCUUACUGGAUGGCACCUGAGGUGGCAGCCGUGGAGAGGAAGGGCGGGUACAACCAACUGUGCGACAUCUGGGCGGUGGGCAUCACCGCCAUCGAGCUGGCAGAGCUGCAGCCGCCCAUGUUUGACCUUCACCCGAUGAGAGCCCUGUUUUUUAUGACCAAAAGUAACUUCCAGCCGCCCAAGUUGAAAGACAAGGUGAAGUGGACCAGUAAUUUUCAUCAUUUUGUAAAAAUAUCGUUGACGAAAAAUCCAAAGAAAAGGCCUUCCUCAGACAAGCUGCUGCAGCAUCCCUUUGUCUCGCAACCUCUAAGUCGCACGCUGGCCAUCGAGCUCUUGGACAAGGCCAGCAACCCGGACCACUCCUCCUACGAAGACCACUUAGAUGAUGUGCCUGAGGAGUCCGAGGAGUUGAAACACAAGAGGGUGCUUUGGCUCAUACUGGGGUGUGUUUCAACCUGUUGUCCCCCUAUCUCGACGACUCCCACGCUUUUCCGUUGGCAGAGAGGGUAGCCUAGUGGUUAGAGCGUUGGACUAGUAACCGGAAGGUUGCAAGUUCAAAUCGCCGAGCUGACAAGCCCCCUGUAUCGGUGCCGCAUCGGAUUCGCUCUGGGAACACACGAGAAGGGAAGACCCUCUCUGAGAUCAACUGUGAGUGUCUUCAGUAGCAUUUUACUUAAUCCCUUUGGUAUAAGAGUGACAUUAGCAUGCCAUAGUAUGUCAUAAGCAUUCAUGACUAGGGCAGUUAGGGUGAACGUAUUACCACCAUACCGGCGGUCACGAGUCAUGAAGGCAGUCUAAUUCCACGUGAAUUUUUAGUCACAGUAAAUUAGGCUUCUCCCAGCCCUGAUGCUGCCAAUGUUCAUUAGUAGCCUACCAAACUUGCUAACUGCCUGGUACUCAGCACUCUAUUGUCCCUCUAAUCUCUCUGACGUCAAUGCAAAUGUAUUUAAAAAUCUAAUCAAACACUUCAUGAGAGCACAUGAGCUAAUGUUACGCAACAUUUCAGUAGGCUAUGCAAUUGUGCGUUAAAACAGAGUAAUGGCCUCUAAUAAGAAUAGGAGGAUCAGCAUUCUAUAGGCUAGGCCUACUGUAUUUAUUUCUCAACUUUCUUAAUAUUAAGCACAUUGCUUAUAUUUACAACAGGAGUACCUGGCUGGCAUGAAAAUAAACCACGGGGAAAAGUGUCCUUCAGUCGCAAUUUAAGUGCAUAGAUGACAUGUAUUUUUUUCCUGCCGACCCUGUUUCUAAACAGGUGCUUGAUUAUGGUCCAUUCUAAAUCAAAACAUAUUUCACACAUAUAUUAUUUAGUAUAUGUAAAAACUAUAUUAAAUCAAGAAUAGUCUGAUGGGUGACAAUAUUAGCCAAAUACUUGUGAAUUAUAUAUUAUCACUUGUGAAUGAUGACUAGCUUAAGAAACAAUGCCUUUUUUUUUGUGCUACUUUUUGAAUCAUAGUCACAUGUAAUGUAGCCUAGUCCAUAGGUGUAUAUGUUUUAAGGUUUGUAUCACAACUAAAGUGGCCAACGGGCAUACGUAAGCAGCGCUUGAGUUUCAAGUUUGGGGAAGGUCAUUUUCAUCUUAUGCACCUUUAUAAUAAAAGCAUUACAUGGAUAAUUGCAUUUGCGGUCAUUUUUGAUAAUGGUGUUUUCCGCUAAUGUAACAUUCACGCUUAUUGAAAUAAUACUACCAUGUGCGCAUUGCUGUGCUUAUAAUGUGAAGAAAUAGCCUUAUCGCUUAGCUUAAAAUAUUGAUAAACUUUCUGAUCAGUUGCAUCAGCCAAAAUUCUUUAAAGUUUUUUUUGAUGCUAGU